rnacentral:RNase_P_RNA from 2 species
AGUUGAUCAUACGGUCGCGUAGUUUCGGCUAUGAGGAAAGUCCGAGCACCGCAGAGCAGGACGCCGGAUAACGUCCGGUGGAGGCGACUCCAAGGAAAGUGCAACAGAAACAGACCGCAGAGAAAUCUGUAAGGAUGGAAAGGGGAGGUAAGAGCUCACCGACGCCGCGGUAACGCGGCGUGCCGUGUAAACCCCGUCCGGUGCAAGAUUGGGUUUUUGCCAUACAGGGCUGCUCGUCCGGCAUGAACCGUAAAUAUCGCUGGAGCGCAUCGGCGACGAUGCGUCGAGAUAGAUGACCGUACACGACAGAACUCGGCUUACAGAUCAA